AGAAUCUGUCUUGAGCCAAAUAUGA
rnacentral:piRNA from 1 species